AGGCUGCCCACAAGACCUCCACAACAUUUCUUGUGUCAGAAUUCUCAUGGAAGUUAUGCUACAUCAUGACUUAGACAAAUUGAAGAGCAUCAACCAGCUCAGCACCACAAAGUGUCUCCGGGGCAGCAGCAGCAGAGGAGCUGGUUAAUAUUUACUACAACCCAAAAAUGUUGCAGUGGCUGGCUGUUUGUAAAAUAAACAGAAGAAACUGUGACAUAGCACUGGGCCAGAUGUUCCUGAUAGUAUGCUGCCAGAAGAAGAAUUCUCAUCCUUGAAGAAAGUUUUCUAAGUGGUCAUGACACUCUUGGUCAUGGUAGG